rnacentral:rRNA from 1 species
AAGCGCUUGUGACCAGACUUGGGCGCGGCGGAUCAUCCGGGGUUCUCUCCGGUGCACUUCGCCGCGUCUAGGCCAGCAUCAGUUCGUCGCGGGGGAAAAAGGCUUCGGGAACGUGG